AUACUUUUGUAGGUCCUAAGCAAAGGAUCGGGUUUUCAUGCUCAUGUGUGAGGUCUGCCUCCCUCAAACCUUCUGAUCUGGGCACGUACCUGGCUAAUG